CCCUCCCUCUGUCGGCAUGCCUAACACAUGCAAGUCGAACGAGACCUUCGGGUCUAGUGGCGCACGGGUGCGUAGCGCGUGGGAACCUGCCCUUAGGUUCGGAAUAACUCCCCGAAAGGGGUGCUAAUACCGGAUAAUGUCUUCGGACCAAAGAUUUAUCGCCUUUGGAUGGGCCCGCGUUGGAUUAGCUAGUUGGUAGGGUAAAAGCCUACCAAGGCGACGAUCCAUAGCUGGUCUGAGAGGAUGAUCAGCCACACUGGGACUGAGACACGGCCCAGACUCCUACGGGAGGCAGCAGUGGGGAAUAUUGGACAAUGGGCGAAAGCCUGAUCCAGCAAUGCCGCGUGAGUGAUGAAGGCCUUAGGGUUGUAAAGCUCUUUUACCCGGGAUGAUAAUGACAGUACCGGGAGAAUAAGCUCCAGCUAACUCCGUG
rnacentral:rRNA from 1 species